rnacentral:lncRNA from 1 species
CGCUCCUCGGAGUCCCCCCGCGCCCCGGAGUCCACCCGCGCCCCGGAGUCCACCCGCGCAGGUCCACUUCUCCAUCCCUGCUCUCGACCUCCGCCCCUGCGGUGGGGGAAGUUCCUGGGGCGGUGGCUGGGACCAGGCCGGGUUUUAGGCGGGCGCAGAUUUCCGGGCUAACUUUCCUCGCCGUCUCAGCGCGGGAAGGGGGAAAUGGGAAACCCGGGCCAGAGCAGCGGAGCUUCCCAGCCGCACACUUCCUCCCUCCAGCCGUUUGUCUCGGCAGGGGAGGGCCCAGGCAGCCAAGCCGGCAGGCCCACUGGUUAUCCGACCUUGUGCUCUGGCCGUGGGUGGAGACCUUACAUCCAGCUCAGAGCGCCUCCUCCCAUCCCCUGUGUCCUCUAGGCCUCCCCAGACUUUGCCUUUUAGCCUUCCAGUGAAACAAGUUCUGUAUCCAAGAUAUACAAUUAAGUGGACAAAGCAGAUUGCAGAAAGUCUUUUCGUAGCUCACAAGGGGACAUCAAAGAUGACAAAGAGGAGUGGAAGAAGACAGAGAGAAUCAAUGUGAGGAGCCUGGAACAGGGCUCUGAAUUGUCUUCCCACAGUGAAAUCACUUGUCUAUUGCUGAGCCAAGAAUUUGACUCUGAGCAUCUAGGAUGAGAAAGAAGAACUGGCACCUACGCCAUCUCUGCCCCUCGGGACUGACUAUUUUGGCCCAGUUUCCUCAACAAUGAAAUGGGACUAAUUAUCCCAGGUCACACUUCUCUCUGGGCUUACCCUGGGAAUCAGAUGAUUGAGCUUUGGAUCUCACUCUGUUGCCCAGGCUGGAAUGCAGUGAUACGAUCAUGACUCACUGCAGCCUCAAACUCCUGGGUUCAAGUAACCCUCCCACCUCAGCUUUCUGAGUAACUGGGACUACAGUCUUCUAGUAAAAUUGAUGCUCCAAGAAGAUACACAACGUUGACCAUGUGGAUUCAGAUAUCUCCCGCUUGGAUCUCAGCCUGGAUCUUGUUGUUUGAGAAGCAUAGAUUAGCUACAGAAUGCCAUGUCAUACAUCCAAUAAAAUUCAACUCUGCAAGCAUGAGAGAGAAGAGGAAGGAAAAGAGAGAAUCUGAAGUAGUUGGAUCACUAGAGGGCAAUAUCGGCCAAGAGAAAGAAGAAUUCUUCACCACCGUUUCUAGGACUGGUGAAGGUGCUGUGCUGGAGAGAGCAUGUGGAGAGACACCACAGAGAGUGAUGUCCAAGGAUCCUCUGCUGUUCUAGCCUCCAGAUGUUUGGUACCAAAUGGAGAGUGAGUGAGGCUUCCAACCCCACCUUUGAGCCACCCCAGCUGAUCCCAGUAGAGCAGAGAUGAGCUGUCCCCACCAAGUCUUGCCCAGAUUGCAGAUCUGUGAACAAAUAAGAAUUUUUGCUUGAAGCCUCUAUGUUUUGGGGUACUUGGUCACGUAGCCCUAGGGCUAACUGAAGUAUAGUGAGAAGUGACAAGAUUCAAGGUUGUAUAGCUGCUUAGGGGAAGAACAAAGAAAGUACACUCUCCUUGCAUUCAAAGGAUAUUUCUUCAAUUUGCUUGCAGUGUGACCUUUGGCAAGCUACUGAACCUCUCUGUGCCUCAGUUUUCUCAUCUGUAUGAUAGGGAUGAAGAUGGUAUUUCUUCAGAAGGUAGUGAUGAGGAAUAAAUAUCUCAUUCUUGGCAUGUAGGAAAAAGCUAGUAAGUAGCUGGGUUGGGGUUUCAAUUCAGGCAGUCUAACCCUAGACUCUUUACUGGUAAGCUCAGGUCCAGAACAUUCCCACCAAUCCCUGAAAAGGAGGCCAGACGGCAAUAUCCCAGGUACUCCCAUUAUUUUCCCCCAUACGGCAUGAUUCUGAGUCCUCCUUGGCCGCCCUUCUCUGUUCACUGGGCCUUGAUACAUGAUUCUCUGAACUGAAGGCCGCACCAUCACU